AGCGAACGCUGGCGGCAGGCCUAACACAUGCAAGUCGAACGGACCCUUCGGGGUUAGUGGCGGACGGGUGAGUAACACGUGGGAACGUGCCUUUAGGUUCGGAAUAGCUCCUGGAAACGGGUGGUAAUGCCGAAUGUGCCCUUUGGGGGAAAGAUUUAUCGCCUUUAGAGCGGCCCGCGUCUGAUUAGCUAGUUGGUGGGGUAAUGGCCCACCAAGGCUACGAUCAGUAGCUGGUCUGAGAGGAUGACCAGCCACAUUGGGACUGAGACACGGCCCAAACUCCUACGGGAGGCAGCAGUGGGGAAUCUUGCGCAAUGGGCGAAAGCCUGACGCAGCCAUGCCGCGUGGAUGAUGAAGGUCUUAGGAUUGUAAAAUCCUUUCACCGGUGAAGAUAAUGACUGUAGCCGGAGAAGAAGCCCCGGCUAACUUCGUGCCAGCCGCCGCCGUAACAC
rnacentral:rRNA from 1 species